CACACACAAAUUAAUCCUGCAUUAAGUCUGCAUUAGGUCUGUGUGACUGUGGUUAAAAAAUUUAGGCAACUGCAUUUCCUACUUUUAUACUAAACACGCAUGUUAAUAUGUAUCACAACUGGAAUCUAUGCAUGUUCUUUCCUAUUCAGCUGCUUCCCAUUUUCUUUCAGUUACCUCACGGUUUACAAACCAAUCUCUGUACUAAAAACAGAUGAAAUUGGCAUGAUCUCAAAACAAGUUUUCUUUUACAGCCAAAGUUCUAUGAUCUUUAUUUACAGCACAUAAAAUGAGUAUUGAACACAUCUCCAAUUUUCUAAGUAAAUAUAUUUUUAAAAGUGCUACAAAAGCCUUUGUUGGCAAUGACAACUUUAAGACACCUCCUAUAUGAAGAAAGUAGUUGCAUCCAUUGCUCAGAUCCUUCAGUCUUCAAAUCCUGAAGGUUCUGUUUUCUAUUGGUGUUUUCUAUGUAUUGCUGUUUUCUAUGUAUCUGCUGCCUCUUGGUCUUCUUUUACAUUCUUUUAAUGUAACCUUUCAUUGUUACGCUGAUGACCUGCAGCUUUAUGUUCCUCUAACCAUUGGAAAUUGUGCUGAAGUCUCUAAACUAGAAUCUUGUCUAUCUCCAAUUAGGGGCUGGUUAUCGGAUAAUUUCUUGCUCCUAAAUACUGAUAAGACAGAGUUAAUGGUCAUUGGACCACAAAAAUUUCAGCACUCGUCCCAAAAUUUCAUCUUGAAAAUUGAUGACAAUGUCAUAAAUUGCAGGGACAAGGUAAAAAACUUGGGCGUGUGGUUCGACAUGGUGCUCUCCUUCGAGUCUCAUGUAAAAGGCGUUCUUUGUUUUCUCUUUUAUCAUUUGAGGAACAUAGCCAAAAUCAGACAAGUUUUGUCAAGCGACACUGCAGAAGUUCUUGUCCAUCCAUUUGUGUCUUCACGUAUUGAUUAUUGUAAUGCUCUUCUUUCUGGGCUACCAAAGAAAAGUUUUAGAGGUCUACAGAUGGUGCAAAAUGCAGCUGCUCACAUUUUAACAAGAACUUUGAAAUUUGAGCACAUUACCCCUGUACUGAGAUCUCUUCAUUGGCUACCUUGUCAGGUUCCAGCAGAUUUUAAGGUCCUGCUGCUCACCUGCUUUAAAUGGAUUGGCACCUUCAUACCUCUCCGACCUUUUACACCUUUAUGUUAUAUCCCGUGCUCUACGAUCUCAGGACUCUAAAGGUUCCUAGACCCAGAAAAAAGACAACUGGCGUGCUUUUUCUUUUCGUGCCCCAUUUUUGUGGAACAACCUCCCUCACGAUAUUAGGCAAGAAUGCUCUGUGGAGGUUUUUAAAACUAAGAUGAAGACACAUUUGUUCACCCCAUCUUACAUGUCUUAAUUCUAUGCCUUCUAGUUUUUAAAUUCUUGCUGUUUUUAACUUGUAUUGUGUUUUUUAUUUGUAUUGCUAUGUAUCGCUUUUAUUUAUCUUUUUAGUUUCAAAUAGCUGUACAGCACUUUGAAAGCGCUUUAUAAAUAAAGUUAUUAUUAUUAUUAUCCUCGGGGCCCUUCUGUGAACUCUGAGCUUUAGUUAUUUCCAUAGAUUUUCAGUUGGAUUUAGGUCAGGUGAUUGGCAGGGCCAUUCUAGCAGCUUUUCCUUUCUUUGAAACAAACUGAGAAUUUCCUGGGAUGUGUGUUUGGGAUCAGUGUCUAGCUGAAAGGCCACCCAUCUUUAUCAUCCUGGUAGAUGGCAGCAGAUUUUUUUUUUUUUUUUUAUCAAGAAUGUCUCUGUACACUUUUCCAAUUAUUCUUUCUUCAAUUAAAGGAAGCUUGCCAGUGCCGUACGCUGAAAAAGAGCCCCUCACCAUCAUGUUCCCACCUCCAACUAACAUGGUGUGUAUUAUAGCAUCCAAAGAGCAUCCAAUUUCGGUCUCAUCUGACCAGACUAUAGUCUCCCAGUAUUUCACAGGUUUGUCUAAAUGUUCUUCAGUAAACUUUAAAUGUGCUUCAACGUGUUUUUUCUUUAGCAAUCCAGUCUUCAGUCUUGUUUCUGUAGCUCUCCGCAAGUGAUCCUUGGCUCUUGGACAACUGUUCUGAUUGUUCUUCCUACUCCUCUGUCUAAAAUCUUUCAGGGAGCACCUGGUCGUGGACGGUUUAUGGUGAAAUUAUGUUCUUUCCACUUAUAUUAUGAUUAUAGUGCCAAAAGUGCUCACUGGAACCUUCAGUAGUUUCGAAAUUCUUCUGUAACCAGUGCCAUUAGUAUGUUUUGCAACAAUAAGGUUGCAAAGGUCAUGAGAGAGCUCAUGAGAUGUUUCUUAUGUGAAAUCUUGUUAAUGAGACACCUUUUUAUAGGCCAUCAGAUGGGACUGAAACAGCUGAUAUUAAUUUGCACUAAGUGGCAGGAUUGCUUUCUAAUUACUGAUAGAUUUAUGCUGGUGUUAUGACUUUCCAUGUCUUUUUGCACCCCCUUUCUUCAUAUGUCCCUGGUUCAUAUUUCAUCAUUACACACAACUUAAAUAUAACCGAAUUUAUGGACAUCUAUGUUUUGAUUUCUUUGCAUGUGCAGAUUGGAUGGGUUGUUACCGACAUCUGGCAGAUCGGAGGGCAGCUUCUGAAGUCCAAGCCACUCUGAGAAAUGUGUGCCAUCGCUGCCCUGAUGAGAAGUGACUGGAGAAUUCUUAGAUUUAUUAGCACUCUGUGAGCCAGUGUCAUCAGAGAUUACGUCCCCUAUCCUUCAACGGUCCACUGGCACGUCAGCCACCGAAUUUCAAUUUCCCCGGUUAGAGGAUAGGAAGGCUCUGCGUGGCGACCCCUGCUUGCGACCCUGGGGUUUCACAGUGGAUGGAGGAGGUAGCGGUGGGGCAGAUACGGGAUGCUCAUGAAUUAGGUAUGACUUCAGCAGUGCAUUCAACUUUGGCUGUCCAGCGUGUAUCGCUGAGCAAAAUCUGUCUGAUAAAUGGCCAUCACAGCAAAGGAAGACUGCUCCUCCAGCUCCAGGAAACUCCCUGGUUGCAAUCCUGCUGUCUUUAUGGGUUCACAGAGGGUCGCCAACAUAUUGCUAACACAACAGAACGCAACUCCUCGCUUGAUCUGCAACAAGAAUAUCCUGCUUGGUUCUGUUACCGGUUACUGUAGGAGGAGACGCUUCAACUCUCUGCCGACUGCUUCAGCCUGACAGGGAUAAUGUACGUUCCCAUCAACACAUCCUUCCUCCCCCCCUCUACAGCCUCAUCACAGCACUAACCAGCAGCGACCCAUAUAAUGGAUGGUCAUGAUACAGGCCACUGCUUCACACAGCUAAAAGCAAUGGAAAAGAGACGGGGGGUGGGGGGGUAGUUGGAAAGGUUUGUGCAGAGGGGGUGUGUGCCAUGGGGUUGGUGGUGGAUUGCAUGUGUCUGUUAUCAGGACUGUACAGUCCAUAUUUAGACAUGCUAAUAAAGUCGUGAUGUGUUUUAA